AUUGAACGCUGGCGGCAGGCCUAACACAUGCAAGUCGAAUGAGAGGCGGACGGGUGAGUAAUGUCUGGGAAACUGCCUGAUGGAGGGGGCUAACUACUGGAAACGGUAGCUAAUACCGCAUAACAUCAGAUUGGCCAGGAUGGGAUUAGCUUGUUGGUGGGGUAACGGCUCACCAAGGCGAAGAUCCCUAGCUGGUCUGAGAGGAUGACCAGCCACACGGGAACGGAGACACGGUCCAGACUCCUACGGGAGGCAGCAGUGGGGAAUAUUGCACAAUGGGCGCAAUCCUGAUGCAGCCAUGCCGCGUGUAUGAAGAAGGCCUUCGGGUUGUAAAGUACUUUCAGCGGGGAGGCGUUACCCGCAGAAGAAGCACCGGCUAACUCCGUGCCAGCAGCCGCGGUAAUAC
rnacentral:rRNA from 1 species